GCCUGCAUUCACCAACAACCUUUUUAAGUGGAAAAGGGGAGAGGACUCAGUCAUUUUCUGAGCUAGUCUUGGACAGCCUGAACUGAAGCCCAGCAAUUGGUUUUAUCAGGAAGAAGGGGCUUUUGUAGAUGAAUCUUGACUUGGAGCCUAGAUUUGGGUUUAAUUAAUUUUACACAUCUAAUGUGAAGUGUUACCUGACCACUUGAGGGUACACAGCUGACACUAGAGUAAAUCUUUGAGAUUCUUCCUGUCAUAGAGAAUCUGUGAGCCAAAAAGAAUAGCUUUGGAACUUAACCUUGGAGAACUCAGGGCUGGCUUCUCUGCAAACCAAAGAAAAAUCUCAUUUCAACUCUUGGAGUGCCUCGUUCCUUCAAACAUUUUAAUUUUCCUCUUCCAUACUAAAUUAAGCUGACUUAUUGAAAUCCCAUGACCUAUUAGUACUAAUAUGUUUACCUAGUUUUGCUUUCUGUGUGUAAUUUUAAAAAAGGAAAAAGGCACUAAUUAGAAUUUCUGUGGUCCUGUUGUAUACUUGCUGCAAUCGGCCAGCUGAGAGCUAUCCUAAAUCUUUUUUUUUUUUUUUUUUCUUUGAGCUGGUCUGGAUAAUAGGCAUACACCACCAUGCCCACUUCAUCCUAAAUCUUAACAGGAUGGAGAAGAGUAACUGCAGAUAGAUUGCAGCCUUAAGAAAGAAGGCCAUAAGUCUCCCAGCACAUGCUUUGAGAGGGUAUGGCUGCUUCUAAGAGCUUAUCCUCUUUAGUCAACUCCCGGAGAGUUUGCAUCUGCUCAAACUUGGAGCCUUCACAUUUGUCUCACUCUCACAAAGGAUGUUAUAUAUGCCUGGCAUUUAACAUCUGCUGUGUGCAAGGAAUAUACAAAUCUAACAUACCUGAAGAUCUCUUCUUGAGGCAUCUCUGGUACUGCGGUGAGCGCUUCAAAACCCACAGCCACACACUGCUCCCUCUGUUGGGCAGAUGUUGGCCCCCACACACAAAUUAUGCUGUUAAUGGUGUCCUUUUGACCUGUUUUCAAACCUGUGCAAUGAUAUUUACUGUUUUGUUACUGAAUAAUGGUGUCCCAGAGAGGAACCAUAAAUAAAAUUGAAACUGGUAUUGUAAUGAGGAAGUAAUAACUAGCAUUAAGAUUUGGUAUUGUUAAAGAAAUUUAUAUUUAAUUUGCAUUCUAAUGUUAAUUUAAAAACAGCAGUUCUAACAAAAAUAUAUCAACUUUAAGUAUUUCUAAUUCUUACCUUUAUCAAAAGAUAAUUGUACAAAUUUAUGAUCAGUUUUUUUUUAAUUUCUUUAUAAAGAAUUGUUAGCAAGUAAAAAUGAGUGAGACAGUAUCUCAGUGAUUUUUUAUUUUAGUAAUAAAACACUUCAAUCAAAUAGUCUUCCUUUGGGA
rnacentral:lncRNA from 1 species